rnacentral:rRNA from 1 species
ACGGGAGGCAGCAGUGGGGAAUAUUGCACAAUGGGGGAAACCCUGAUGCAGCGACGCCGCGUGAGUGAAGAAGUAUUUCGGUAUGUAAAGCUCUAUCAGCAGGGAAGAAAAUGACGGUACCUGACUAAGAAGCCCCGGCUAACUACGUGCCAGCAGCCGCGGUAAUACGUAGGGGGCAAGCGUUAUCCGGAUUUACUGGGUGUAAAGGGAGCGUAGACGGCAUGACAAGUCUGAAGUGAAAUCCCCGGGCUCAACCCGGGAACUGCUUUGGAAACUGCCAAGCUAGAGUGCAGGAGGGGCAAGCGGAAUUCCUAGUGUAGCGGUGAAAUGCGUAGAUAUUAGGAGGAACACCAGUGGCGAAGGCGGCUUACUGGACUGUAACUGACGUUGAGGCUCGAAAGCGUGGGGAGCAAACAGGAUUAGAUACCCUGGUA